GAGGAAGCCGGUGUUCCCAGGGAGAACCCUUGCAGACACGGGUGAGGCAACAGUGUUGAUCGCUGUGCCAUCCUACUGCCCCUCCUUGGUGACGCUGUCUCAUUCAAAUGUCUGCCCUAUCAGCUUUCAGUGGUACUUUAGAUGCCUACUAUGGUGACCACGGCUAACAGGGAAUCAGGGUUCGAUUCUGGAGAGAAAACACUACCACAACCAGCUAAGGCAGUAGGCGCACAAAUUUCCCACUCCUGACUCAGGGAGGUA
rnacentral:ncRNA from 1 species